CCGCGCCCCCCGCGCCCCCGCCGCCCGCUCCCGGCUCGGCUUUCCGCUCGCUCGGGGCUUCCUGCGAGCUCCGGAGCCACGUGCCCGGGAGGCCGAGCCCGGGAGCCGCGAGAGGCGCCGCGGGGACCGGAUCGCCGCCCACGAGCCCGCAGGACCGGAGCAGGGCCGCGGGGGCACUCGUGGGGUCCGCCCCGGGGGGGGAGGCGACCGGCGCCCCCCCCCGUCCCCACCCCGAGAAGCCGCGGGGAUGCCCCGAAGAGCCCGAGAUGGGCGCGCGCCGCAGCGAGAAGGGGCCGAUCCCGGCCGGUGACCGGGCAAAGCCAUCGACCUCCUCCUAAGGGCGCGGGACUCGAGACACACCCGGAUGGGCACGAGGCAUCUGAAGAGGCAACAGCCAUCUCUCAUGGCAAGACAAGCGUUGGCACGAUUGGGUUAAAAGCUAGAAAAAUCUCGGAUCCCCGAAGGCAGCGCUGAGCAGUGGAUUCAGCACUUGUCAGCAUCUUCCCCUUGGAUCCCUGGCUUUGUGGGACGAGACAUGUGGCAAUACUCAGCCCUCUUUCUUGAAGGCUAACAUCCCUUGAGAUGGAACCUGCAAGCAUCUUUUUAUUUUCUUCUCUGUUGAUCAUUAAAAUCAUGAGGAGGACAGCCCGGGUGGCUCAACCAGUUUAGCACCGCCUUCAGCCCAGGGCCUGAUCCUGGAGACCUGGGAUCGAGUCCCACGUCAGGCUCCAUGCAUGGAACCUGUUUCUCCCUCUGCCUAUGUCUCUGCCUCUCUCUGUCUCUGUCUCUGUGUCUCUCAUGAAUAAAUAAAUAAAAAUCUUAAAAAAAAAAAAAAA